CCUUCGAUAGCUCAGUUGGUAGAGCGGUGGACUGUAGAAAAUGUGGAAAGAUAGAUGAAAACACUAUGUAUCAUCUAAAGCACUUUCAACAAAUAGAAAUCCAUAGGUCACUGGUUCAAAUCCGGUUCGAAGGA
rfam:Anopheles epiroticus strain epiroticus2 unplaced genomic scaffold supercont1.23, whole genome shotgun sequence.